rnacentral:rRNA from 1 species
AGAGUUUGAUCAUGGCUCAGAUUGAACGCUGGCGGCAUGCUUUACACAUGCAAGUCGAACGGUAACAGGCCGCAAGGUGCUGACGAGUGGCGAACGGGUGAGUAAUGUAUCGGAACGUGCCCAGUCGUGGGGGAUAACGCAGCGAAAGCUGCGCUAAUACCGCAUACGAUCUAUGGAUGAAAGCGGGGGACCGUAAGGCCUCGCGCGAUUGGAGCGGCCGAUAUCAGAUUAGGUAGUUGGUGGGGUAAAGGCUCACCAAGCCAACGAUCUGUAGCUGGUCUGAGAGGACGACCAGCCACACUGGGACUGAGACACGGCCCAGACUCCUACGGGAGGCAGCAGUGGGGAAUUUUGGACAAUGGGCGCAAGCCUGAUCCAGCAAUGCCGCGUGCAGGAAGAAGGCCUUCGGGUUGUAAACUGCUUUUGUACGGAACGAAACGGUCCUGGUUAAUACCCGGGGCUAAUGACGGCACCGUAAGAAUAAGCACCGGCUAACUACGUGCCAGCCGCCGCUAAUAC